rnacentral:misc_RNA from 1 species
UCCGGCUUAUCACCGGCAGUCCCACUAGAGUGCCCAACUGAAUGGUGGCAACUAAUGGCGAGGGUUGCGCUCGUUGCGGGACUUAACCCAACAUCUCACGACACGAGCUGACGACAGCCAUGCAGCAUCUGUGCAUACGCUCCGAAGAGGGGCCCCCGUCUCUGAAGGCUUUCGUAUGUAUGUCAAGCGCAGGUAAGGUUCUUCGCGUUGCGUCGAAUUGAACCACAUGCUCCACCGCUUGUGCGGGCCCCCGUCAAUUCCUUUGAGUUUCAGUCUUGCGACCGUACUCCCCAGGCGGCGAACUUAACGCGUUAGCUUCGAUACUGAGUGCCUAGUUGCACCCAACAUCCAGUUCGCAUCGUUUAGGGCGUGGACUAC